CCUUGAUCAGAUUCAGACCAUUUCAUAAGGAGGUAAGGCAUACUUUCAAAUGGCCUGUAUUAACCUUUAUCUUAUUUCUCCCUUGCAGAUUCAAAACUGUGAGCUAUCUUGCAAAAAAUACAAGAAGAUAUGGAAAGUUUUCGUGAGUGCCUACCACCUAAUCCCAAACACUGUCAUUCAUAUGCGCGACAUUGAGCAAAUCAUUAUUGAGGAUCUAUAUGCCAGGAGGAUAUCUGUUCUAUAUCAUUCUUACUUCCUGGAGAGGAGAAAAUCGGAAAUAUUUCCUCUACUCUGUCAGGUAGGUCUAGUCAAACAGUCCAUCAUUCUAAUAGCAGACUAUCCGGGCUUCAUAACAAGAAACAUAGAUUCCCUAACCCCAGAGAGUAAUCAGCUCAUCUCAUUGCUUCCCCUUUAGACUAAGAGCAAUUUUAGUAGAAUGAGUUCCCUGGGCACAGCACCUGCAGGAUAUGUGAAGGGGCUUUAUAAAUGUUUUUGUUUGUUUGUUUAUGAGACAGGGUCUCGCUUUGCAAUGAACACGGUUCACUGCAGCCUCGACCUCCUGGGCUUAAGUGAUACUCUCACCUCAGCCUCCCGAAUAGCUGGCACCACCACACCUGGCUAAUUUUUGUUUUCUUUGUAGAGACAGGGUUUUGCCAUGUUGCCCAUGCUGGUCUCAAACUCCUGAGCUCAAGUGAUCCACCCACCUCGGCUUCCCAAAGUGCUAGGAUUACAGGCAUGAGCCACAGCACCCGGCCUUGCUUUAUAAACUUUAAAGCAGCAUAUACCACUGCAGGUGGUUGAAAAUUUGUCUUUAUAUUUCCUUUGCUUUUUAGCCUAGAAAGUACUCUGACCAGCAAAAAUGACCACAUUACACAUUUUAAAACCAUUGCUAGAUUUCAGUGGUGGUGGUAUGAUAGUAGCAAUAGCAAAAGAAACAAAAAGAAGAGUGUAAGGGUGGGGUAUGUGUAUGUCCACGCCCAUGUACUGGCUUUUCUACAUGCUCCAAGAAUGUUUCUCAAAGGUAUCCAGUGUUCAAAUGGGAAGGAGCACAGAUCAGAUGGAGAAUCUGCCCAGGUGUCAGAGAGUCCAUGUUAAUCUUCUGGCCAAAAUAACUAUCCAUUCCAAGUUCAUGUUAUUAUUUUUUGAAAAAAUAACAACCAUUUUCAUUGCUAAUACUCUUCAAAGACUUGCAGAGAUUUUACCCACUUCUGUAAAACUUUAAAAUUUCUUAAGUUAGCUCUUAAGAACUUAUCUUAAGAUAGCUGUGUCUUAAGAGCUGAGACAAAUUCUAGUCUGGAAGUAAGAAUGACCCAGAACAGAUGCCCUUUCUCAAUUCCACAUGAAUGGAGACUUUAGGCUGGAUUCUACCUCCUUAAAAUAAAGGCAGGGAUGU
rnacentral:lncRNA from 1 species